rnacentral:rRNA from 1 species
CCCCUAGAUGUUCUGGGCCGCACGCGCGCUACACUGAACAGUUCAACAAGUCUUAACCUUGGCCGAUAGGUCUGGGUAAUCUUUGAACGCUGUUCGUGAUUGGGAUAGACCUUUGCAAUUAUGGGUCUUCAACGAGGAAUCCCUAGUAAGUGCAGGUCAUCAGCUUGCGCUGAUUACGUCCCUGCCCUUUGUACACACCGCCCGUCGCUGCCCGGAACUGAGCCAUUUCGAGAAAAAUGGGGACAGACUGCUUGUGGGUGCGCAAGCACUUCUUGCAGAUUGAAACCAUCUUGAUCGGUAUGGCUUGAACCGGGCAAAAGUCGUAACA